rnacentral:misc_RNA from 1 species
GAAAAAAAAAUCCUUUUUCUUUUUAUUCUUUUGGAAUAAAUUUAAAAUUGGCAAUGAAUAUUCUUAAAAACAUAAAUAUCCAUAGAAGUAAUGAAGAAUAAAAUUAAAAUCAACAACAAUAAGCCAUCAAUUAUCAUCAUUUCUCUUGAUUUUGAGCUCGUGGAAUUGGAUGUUGAAUUGCCCAAGUAUCUGUUCUAGUUACUCUAAAACCUAUAGUCUUGAGUCUCCAAAGACCAAUUAUUGGAAACGUAAUAGAUUUGAAAUGUCAACAUUGACCAUUAACGGAGGGAUUAUUGAUAACACUCAGAUUUUGUGUGAUGUCAGCAUCAAGAGGUGUGUGUUGUCAUGUUGUGAUAAUAGGGGAGUGAAGCCAUAUAAUAUAAGGUGUAUCAGACUUACUGCACCCAGAAAGGGCCAGCCAACUCACUGUUGUGGUUGAAGAGCUUUGGUAGGGGCACCAUUUUAACUUCAUUCCUAAGAGGUGCAGUGUCCAUUGUUGGAGAAGAGUUUAGUACCUCUCUGGUUUACCUUAUUUAUAAAAAAAAAAAUGAAUAGAAUGAUACAAACACCCUCAAAAUUAAUUGAGAUGUAAGGUCAAAUCAUGUCAAAUCGUCAAUAUAAAAAUGGGCUACUUGUUACAAUGGAGGGAAAGUUAUCAAGACCCUUUAUAUCCUUAUGUACAAAGAGGAAGUAUGAGUUUAUUGUGAAAGAUUUAUCGCGUAAAGUUGAGGAUACUUAAUGAUGUGCCGAAAUGUCUCAGAUGCGACAAGUAAAAUGGAAAUAACAGAUAUUAUUGCUUCGAAAUCUGAUACUUCAUGGAAAAUUAAAAUUGAGCUUGAGGAGAAUCUAUUUGGAAUUGAGAUCUGAUUGAGGCAUAACAUCAAAUUUUUAGUACAGUUGUAGUGUAUUGUAGUGCUCUACUGUUUAUAAAUACUGUACUAGUACAUUUGUGUACUAGAGUAUUUCUUGUAAUUAGGGAUUUUUAUUUCAUUUUAAGUCUUUAUUUUGUUAUUUUGAACUGUUUAGACUUAUUUUGGGAGCUAGAAUUUACUUUUGAUUAUGAUUUUAGGGAUGACUAUAUUAAAAUUAUGUUUAUGGCAAU